GAACAAGAACCUGCAGCAGGAGAUUUCCGACCUCACAGAGCAGAUUGCGGAGGGAGGAAAGGCAAUUCAUGAGCUGGAGAAAGUGAAGAAGCAGGUUGAGCAGGAGAAAUCUGAACUGCAAGCCUCCUUGGAGGAAGCUGAGGCCUCCCUGGAACAUGAGGU